AGAGUUUGAUCAUGGCUCAGAUUGAACGCUGGCGGCAGGCUUAACACAUGCAAGUCGAGCGGUAACAGAAAGUAGCUUGCUACUUUGCUGACGAGCGGCGGACGGGUGAGUAAUGCUUGGGAAUAUGCCUUAUGGUGGGGGACAACAGUUGGAAACGACUGCUAAUACCGCAUAACGUCUACGGACCAAAGGAGGGGAUUCUUCGGAACCUUUCGCCAUUUGAUUAGCCCAAGUGAGAUUAGCUAGUAGGUGAGGUAAGAGCUCACCUAGGCGACGAUCUCUAGCUGGUUUGAGAGGAUGAUCAGCCACACUGGGACUGAGACACGGCCCAGACUCCUACGGGAGGCAGCAGUGGGGAAUAUUGCACAAUGGGGGAAACCCUGAUGCAGCCAUGCCGCGUGUGUGAAGAAGGCCUUCGGGUUGUAAAGCACUUUCAGUUGUGAGGAAAGGGAUGUAGUUAAUAACUGCAUUCUGUGACGUUAACAACAGAAGAAGCACCGGCUAACUUCGUGCCAGCAGCCGCGGUAAUACGAGGGGUGCAAGCGUUAAUCGGAAUUACUGGGCGUAAAGCGUUCGUAGGCGGUUAUUUAAGCAAGAUGUGAAAGCCCAGGGCUCAACCUUGGAACUGCAUUUUGAACUGGGUAACUAGAGUACUGUAGAGGGUGGUGGAAUUUCCAGUGUAGCGGUGAAAUGCGUAGAGAUUGGAAGGAACAUCAGUGGCGAAGGCGGCCACCUGGACAGAUACUGACGCUGAGGAACGAAAGCGUGGGGAGCGAACAGGAUUAGAUACCCUGGUAGUCCACGCCGUAAACGAUGUCGACUAGCCGUUCGUGGACUUGAUCCGUGAGUGGCGCAGCUAACGCACUAAGUUGACCGCCUGGGGAGUACGGCCGCAAGGUUAAACUCAAAUGAAUUGACGGGG
rnacentral:rRNA from 1 species